UCAGUCUGGGCUGACUGCUGGAGAAGAAGGAUGUAUGCUGCUAGCUCCUGCAGAGGGAGGGCCUGCAAGGAAGGAUCUGGAAGUCAACCAUGCCGAGGCACUACCUGAGACCCCACUGGAGGACGCCACAAGAGAGGAACAAUCCCCAGGACUCCCCGAUGCAGAUGACCAAGUAUUCAUGCUGGGACCAGGUCUGAAGUCCUGCUUGCAUUUAUAAGGAAGCUGCAUUUAAUAGUGAAAUUGUCCAAUAAGAAACAUCACUCAUGUCUCUGUAAAAGACUGUUUGUCUUGAGGAACGUAUGCACCAGGAAAAGAUAAGGUGUGAAGGCCAUUGUUAACCAGAUGGUCAAGAAAGGAGGGGUGAAGACACUUAUCAAGACUUAUUGACACCAGAGAACAAUCAACGCGCAUCCAUGAUUGAGGAAGGGCAGAUUGACGACCCUGAGGUGGAGGCUGGCACCCCUCAAGACAAUUGGUUAAAUCAAAUCUGGCAUAGGAUGACCCUCUCGGAGGUGUUUUGGAACCUUUACAUCAAAAUAUAACACCAAUUAAGGAGUAACUGGUCAUAAACUGAAACAGCAAAAUCUAUAGACUUCAACAGAGAAAAGACUAUAAGAACAGGGUGCUUUGCCAUGGAACUUUUGGUUCGUCUUGCCAUACUCCAGGAGCAUCGGAUCGUGACCGACAGAGUCCUGCUCCCCUCUGCAACCAAUCUGGCUGGACACUAAAUUGAUCCAGACUCUGGACUAGUAACUAUAAACAUCAACUGGUGGGACUGUGUUUGUGUG